UGGAAUUGCUAGUAAUCGCGAAUCAGAAUGUCGCGGUGAAUACGUUCCCGGGCCUUGUACACACCGCCCGUCACACCAUGAGAGUCGAUAACACCCGAAGCCUGUGAGCUAACCGCAAGGAGGCAGCAGUCGAAGGUGGGGUUGAUGAUUGGGGUGAAGUCGUAACAAGGUAAC
rnacentral:rRNA from 1 species